rnacentral:rRNA from 1 species
GAGUGAACGCUGGCGGUAGGCCUAACACAUGCAAGUCGAACGGCAGCACAGUAAGAGCUUGCUCUUACGGGUGGCGAGUGGCGGACGGGUGAGGAAUACAUCGGAAUCUACUUUUUCGUGGGGGAUAACGUAGGGAAACUUACGCUAAUACCGCAUACGACCUACGGGUGAAAGUAGGGGAUCUUCGGACCUUGCGCGAUUGAAUGAGCCGAUGUCGGAUUAGCUAGUUGGCGGGGUAAAGGCCCACCAAGGCGACGAUCCGUAGCUGGUCUGAGAGGAUGAUCAGCCACACUGGAACUGAGACACGGUCCAGACUCCUACGGGAGGCAGCAGUGGGGAAUAUUGGACAAUGGGCGCAAGCCUGAUCCAGCCAUACCGCGUGGGUGAAGAAGGCCUUCGGGUUGUAAAGCCCUUUUGUUGGGAAAGAAAAGCAGCAGGUUAAUACCCCGCUGUUCUGACGGUACCCAAAGAAUAAGCACCGGCUAACUUCGU